rnacentral:rRNA from 1 species
AUUGAACGCUGGCGGCAUGCCUUACACAUGCAAGUCGAACGGUAACAGGUCUUCGGAUGCUGACGAGUGGCGAACGGGUGAGUAAUACAUCGGAACGUGCCCGAUCGUGGGGGAUAACGAGGCGAAAGCUUUGCUAAUACCGCAUAAGAUCUACGGAUGAAAGCAGGGGACCGCAAGGCCUUGCGCGAACGGAGCGGCCGAUGGCAGAUUAGGUAGUUGGUGGGAUAAAAGCUUACCAAGCCGACGAUCUGUAGCUGGUCUGAGAGGACGACCAGCCACACUGGGACUGAGACACGGCCCAGACUCCUACGGGAGGCAGCAGUGGGGAAUUUUGGACAAUGGGCGAAAGCCUGAUCCAGCCAUGCCGCGUGCAGGAUGAAGGCCUUCGGGUUGUAAACUGCUUUUGUACGGAACGAAAAGACUCUGGUUAAUACCUGGGGUCCAUGACGGUACCGUAAGAAUAAGCACCGGCUAACUACGUG